rnacentral:antisense_RNA from 1 species
GACCGACAUCAGCGACUCAUUUUGUGAGCCCUGGCCGACCGCCAGAUAGGCAUUCAUCCCCAGCUCUUUCAUCUGCUGUUCGCCGAUGACGCGAGUGGUAAUAUUUUUGCUGUAGUUGUCGGCUAACUGACGUGCCUGUGACGCCAGAUACGCGGCGUUACAAAUAUUUGGCGGCAUAUUGCUGAGAUCUUUUGC